UUAUAAGCCGGGCUCCACUUGAAUGACCUAACAAGGGAUAACUGAGAGAAGCUGGAUUCACUGUGAAAGCUGACUCUCUGAGACAUAACAUUUAGAGGGUGCUGAGCAAAGAAGCCUGCCACAAAGAGAUAUGUACGCAAACCGAAAUGCAAAAAAGAAAAAAGAAAAAAAAAAUCGGCUGCUGUCGUACAGAGUCAUCGAAAAUACACGUUUGUUGCCCCUGUAAUUCCUCGCCGGAGCGAAGAGACGCCUCGUGUUAAGAGGCCAAGAAGACUGCUUCUGUUUUAUUGGCCUUAUUAAACGAUAUGCAUAAUGCCUUCCAGUUGUGCCUGAAGGAAGAGGUUUCUGCCUGGAAAGAGAAAUCGGAAGGAGCACGGUAACAUCUGGUAAAAUUACAGGACAACCAUUCAGAGGGGGGGACCUAGCUCCGCCUUCGAGGCUCAGCUCCUCCUCAAAGCUUCAGUUUCGAAGCUUACAAGCUUCUGCAUUACAGACGUAUACAGCAUUUCUAUACCAUCUGAAGCUAUGGGUUGGGGAGAUGCAUCAGCUCACACUGAGCCUCCGGGUUGGAUCAGGCUCUGCGGAGGAGAGGUGAGUUCGUCCGCCCCCGUUGAGCCUGCAAGGCACUCCAGCCUUCUCCAUCACCAUGCAGCUUGACCUGCUGCUUUUCUGGGAGACUAGCCGGACAGAGAGCCAACAUCUGACCAGUCGCACCUCCUUCAGUCUUACAGGAAGUCGACCACAUGUCUCUGCGGGGCUCACCGUCGCAUUAGUUGUCAUUCUCAGCAGGGCAGGCGCUGGGAACAGGCUGGAGAGCCGUGCGGUUAUUAAGGGACUCAGCUUGGCAUCACUGAACUCUUUGGCACCCUGCUGGAGAGGGGCUUAUGCUGAGCUGAUGGGUUUUGGGGAAGAGGUGUUGUGGGGAGUGU